GACGAACGCUGGCGGCGUGCUUAACACAUGCAAGUCGAACGGAAAGGCCCUGCUUUUGUGGGGUGCUCGAGUGGCGAACGGGUGAGUAACACGUGAGUAACCUGCCCUUGACUUUGGGAUAACUUCAGGAAACUGGGGCUAAUACCGGAUAGGAGCUCCUGCUGCAUGGUGGGGGUUGGAAAGUUUCGGCGGUUGGGGAUGGACUCGCGGCUUAUCAGCUUGUUGGUGGGGUAGUGGCUUACCAAGGCUUUGACGGGUAGCCGGCCUGAGAGGGUGACCGGCCACAUUGGGACUGAGAUACGGCCCAGACUCCUACGGGAGGCAGCAGUGGGGAAUAUUGCACAAUGGGCGGAAGCCUGAUGCAGCAACGCCGCGUGCGGGAUGACGGCCUUCGGGUUGUAAACCGCUUCCGCCUGUGACGAAGCGUGAGUGACGGUAAUGGGAAAAGAAGCCCCGGCUAACUACGUG
rnacentral:rRNA from 1 species